AGCGAACGCUGGCGGCAGGCUUAACACAUGCAAGUCGAGCGGGCGUAGCAAUACGUCAGCGGCAGACGGGUGAGUAACGCGUGGGAACAUACCUUUUGGUUCGGAACAACACAGGGAAACUUGUGCUAAUACCGGAUAAGCCCUUACGGGGAAAGAUUUAUCGCCGAAAGAUUGGCCCGCGUCUGAUUAGCUAGUUGGUGAGGUAACGGCUCACCAAGGCGACGAUCAGUAGCGGUCUGAGAGGAUGAUCAGCCACCAUUGGGACUGAGACACGGCCCAAACUCCUACGGGAGGCAGCAGGUGGGGAAUAUUGGACAAUGGGCGCAAGCCUGAUCCAGCCAUGCCGCGUGAGUGAUGAAGG
rnacentral:rRNA from 1 species